ACAAGUAUUAAGGAUAAUUUGAAGAAGAUUAAUGUCAAAAGAUCUGGAAAAAUAGAAUAAUUGAAGAGAAUUUUGUACCUACAGUACAAAAAGUUACAGUACCUACAGUAAAGUACUAUUUAAGAAGAAUACUUUGUAGGGCUUCGAGUAACAUAAUUAUUAGUAUAGUAUAUAAAAUAACUUUAAAUUUAUAUAAUAUAGAUAUACUUAUUUUAUUCGAAUGAGGUCAUGUAAGACUGUAUUUCAAUUAGAGAAAUAGAGAUUAUUUUUGUGACGUAAAAGUGACUAUUCGCGUGAAGAAACUGAACUUCUAUUUAAUUAGUAA
rnacentral:lncRNA from 1 species